GUUGUUCCUGCACAUGGCGUGUUAUUCACACUUGUAAAGUCUUCAGCUGUGACAUAUGAAGAAUAAGAAGUGACAGUAGAGCGACACAGAGCCCUUAUCCUCACAGUGCAGCGGUGGAUUCAGCCUGUUUAAGCAGGAGGAGCAGUGAGUCCUGAGGCUGUGCUACCAACCAGGAUUUCAUCUGAUCCAGGACAACCUGAGAUGGAUGCUGGGAAAUCUGAGAUAUUCUGCUGGAUUCUGCUCGUCUGCUUUUCACUGGCUGCAUAUGCAGACCAGAAAACGAUCACAGCUGAGUCUGGACAGAACGUCACUCUGACAUGUCG